GCCGCAUUGAUGUAAUGGUAACAUGCAUGAUUGUCGAUCAUGCCUCAGGGGUUCGAUUCCCCUAUGCGGCG
rnacentral:tRNA from 1 species